rnacentral:sRNA from 1 species
UUGACAGCCCUGGAAAUGGAUCCGUUAUCAACACGAAAAGGUACAAUAUAGGCAACGGCAAUGCAAGCUUCCCCACAGUGUCUUGCCAACAUACCUCAGUAAUAAAUUCUCACUUCUGCCUCUGGUAAAUAAGAAAUCCAUCUGAUCUCCAUACUCAUUCAAGCCUUAGCUUCU